UCAAAUGAUAUUUUUUUUCCAAUUUUUGUCUCUUCUUCUCCCGCUGAAUCAAACUUUUUCUUGCCAUAAGGGUU
rnacentral:tRNA from 1 species